UUGUGGUUUUCUUUAAAGAAUUUUUUAUGUGCAUGUGUGUGCCUGUGUAAAUUCAUGUGCACCACAUACGAGCAUGAAGCCCACAGACCAAAAGAGGGAGUCAGAUCCACAGGAAGUGGAUUUACGAGUGGUUGCGAGCCACCCGAUACGGAAGAGCAAUAUGGAAGAGCAAGAAGAGCAAGUGCUCUUCACCGCAGAGCCAUCUCUCCAGCUCUGCCCCAACACCGAUAUUUCUAGGUUUACUUUUAGCCCCCAAACCAGCUUGAAGAGUGCCUUGUCCUGUUCCUCAGCCUCCACUUCUGAGGCUUGUUUAUGCUGCCUCUGGACUUCUUCUUACUAACUUAUUCCCUUUUCUGUUGAUUAUCUGUGGCGAUGAAUUGGAUGUUAUAUUUGAGGGAGUCUUCAAGAAAGUACUUCAAGGCUCAGAUGGCUUUAUCUUCUUCCAGGGAGAACUUCUACACUUCUCCAGGUGUCCUGGGACACCAGCAUUCAAGGCUGGUUUGAUCUGCCCCCAAGGGAUGUUAGCACUACCUUGAGCCGAGCUAUGGAGCAGGAAAGCCACUUUAAAGCCCAUGACUUAACUACUUAACUGUAGUCCACCCUAAAUGUUGGGUACAGAAGCUUGCAGUCAGGUCUGUCAUCAGCUCCUUCCAGAGCAGUUGCUCUCGGGGACUUCACUCUUGUCUCAGCUUUUACUCGCUACCUGUUUUCUCUUUGAUGUUUCUAGAUUUCCAAGUCCAUCCAGCCAUGCUCUCUCCCUUUCACUGGGAUGUUGGUGUCACCAAAUCACUCAGACGACAUGGAGCCCAGGUCUGAGAUCUGCUUUGAUGGAGCUUUGCUGGGUGAUGGUCAUGGGUGGCUGCUCUCACGCCCUCCCCAUGACACCCCAGGAGCCUUUUCUGAGUGAGCCACUCACUUCUUCCUCCCAUGUCUUCUGAGUCAUGCAGCUCUGGUAAGCACAGAUGAAGCCAUGUGGCAGCAAGGAGGAUGGAGUGGAGGUACACUAACAAACCACGGCGCACACAAAAUGGCACAGCCACAGACACUCAUAACCAGUCACCGCACGCGAGUUCUAAUUCCGAUAUCUCCAUCACCCCAUCCAAGGCUUGGGGAACAUUCCAGAAGAGAGAGAGGGAAGAACAGGAAAGCCAGAACGGACUGUUCUGAAACACUGUUUCCAGGCACGAAGUGACCACUGUGCUCCUGAAUUCACAGCAGCUGGGAUGACCUGCUAGAGAGCCACAUCUUGAGCCGGUGACAUCCCAUCACAUUAGGGAAAGGCUCACCAAGACCCCGCAACAGCUAAUGGAAGUUAAUGGUUGAAUGGUGAGGAUGUUUUCUCCGGCGGUUUAGCUACUGCUGGGACCUUCCCUAGUCCUGGGGAUCCUUGGUCGAUAUCGGUCCAUGAGGGCAGAUGGAGCAGAGAUGAUGAUCCAGAGGUGCCUCGGAAGCCCUGGCCACAUUCACUCAGGAGUGGAGAUCAGCUCAGAGUAAGGAGGCUAUCAGUAAGGAUUUGUGUUGGGAAGAGACAGUGGCUUCUCCUGCUGUUUCCAUAGCUCAGGACAUCCAAAGGCACCUUGAGCCUCCCAGGACGCUGUCCCACCCCAGUGCUUUGACACCUGCUUCUUCAUGUGCCCUGCUUUGCAAUUUCCUGCAGUAUGCUGGUCCCUGGUUUCAAGUAUCUUCCUCGGGGUACCAGACAUUCUGAAAAAAUGGACAGUAGAGGGUUGACUAGAAAGCAAGAAGGGACCACAACAUCCUGUGCCCUUCUCAGAGAUGCCUUAGACCUGUGUGUUAUGCACUAGCAGGGACAGGCAGCCUGGAGAGGCAUCUGCACCAGCGGGAGGAUGCCAAGCACAGGAGGGGACACAGGCUGCUGCCGAUGCAAUAAGAGCAGAAAAAACGACUGCAAAAUGUUACCAUUGUCUUAGUUAGGG